UAUGCUCAUUCGUUUUCAGGCCCUCGUUCAGCCAACAAAAAAAUUAUAUUUUCGGAAAAAGUAUUGUGAAAGUUUGAGUUUAAAUUUGAGAUUUAAAAUUGUUUUUGUGAAAAGUUUCACAUGUGUAAAAAUUAUUUUUCUUAAAUCCUAAUUCCAAUGAUGGCCAAAAGUAUCCACCACACCACACGAAAUGUUACUAAAUUAUUGAACUGCCUAGUAUUCGUGCAUAAAGUAUGUGCAUAAAGGAGACACAAACUAUCCAUCGUUAAGCAUAUUUACAGACUUAGAUCAAACUGGACACACUGGAUUGAAAUCAAUACAUGAUUCCUAAAGGAUGUGUACACUUUUACUUUAUAUCAAACACGCAAAAUCACUGGAUUAUAACAAAUGGACGAUGAGUCAACUCCAAUUCCUAAAGGAUACGUGUUUAGCCAUAACAUUUGAAUUUAGGGUAUCAAAAUAUUGGUUGAUUGGCUAAGAGAUUUAUUCUCGAUAUUCUAAUCCCAUAUUCAUAUUGCAGACUGAAACGCAAUAAGGAUUUUUAUCGAUACAAUUGAAAGAAAGCUAAACUUCUACACAAUGGUUUUUGUUAUAGUUUAUACAAAUGAAUACUACUCGCAAGGGAAUUGCUGGAAUUAAAUAAAAAUAUAAGAAAUAUAUAAAAUAUAUUCACACGCAAAUAAAAUACUGAAUAAAAU